AUGGUCUGAUGUAAUUUCUAAAACAAAUUCAUAUUUUAGCCUUGGUUUAAACAGUGAUACCAACAGCAAACGCAUCCUGUCGCCUUUGGGGGGCUGGGCAGUGCCCCUGAGAGUAAAUUAGGAGGUUCUACAUGG